rnacentral:tRNA from 2 species
GGGCGUGUAGCUCAGUUGGUCAGAGCGCAGGACUUAUAAGCCUGUGGUCGGUGGUUCAACUCCACCCACGCCCACCA